rnacentral:rRNA from 1 species
CCUACGGGUGGCAGCAGUGAGGAAUAUUGGUCAAUGGACGAGAGUCUGAACCAGCCAAGUAGCGUGAAGGAUGACUGCCCUAUGGGUUGUAAACUUCUUUUAUAAGGGAAUAAAACGAGGCACGUGUGCCUUUUUGCAUGUACUUUAUGAAUAAGGAUCGGCUAACUCCGUGCCAGCAGCCGCGGUAAUACGGAGGAUCCGAGCGUUAUCCGGAUUUAUUGGGUUUAAAGGGAGCGUAGAUGGGUUGUUAAGUCAGUUGUGAAAGUUUGCGGCUCAACCGUAAAAUUGCAAUUGAUACUGGCAGUCUAGAGUACAGUUGAGGUAUGCGGAAUUCGUGGUGUAGCGGUGAAAUGCUUAGAUAUCACGAAGAACCCCGAUUGCGAAGGCAGCUUACUAAACUGUGACUGACAUUGAUGCUCGAAAGUGUGGGUAUCAAACAGGAUUAGAUACCCGUGUAGUC